rnacentral:lncRNA from 1 species
CGGGAGAACGUGAUGGUCGAAGUGAGGUCGAAGUAACGUCGCUGGGAGAUCGGAGCGCAAUAUCUCCAACUAGAAUCGCGCUUUUUUAACGUCCUCACUACGAUGGUACCACGACAUUAUAAUUACUGCGCACUCGCUAAGAAUUUACCCCGAUCUGAUCGCAUCAUAUGUUCAAAGUUUGCCACGUUCAUCACGAUUAUGAAGACC